rnacentral:rRNA from 1 species
GAGUUUGAUCAUGGCUCAGAUUGAACGCUGGCGGCAUGCCUAACACAUGCAAGUCGAGCGGCAGCGCGGGGGCAACCCUGGCGGCGAGCGGCGGACGGGUGAGUAAGGCAUCGGAAUCUGCCCUGAUGUGGGGGAUAACGUAGGGAAACUUACGCUAAUACCGCAUACGACCGAGAGGUGAAAGCGGGGGACCGAAAGGCCUCGCGCGGCAGGAUGAGCCGAUGUCCGAUUAGCUGGUUGGUGGGGUAAUGGCCUACCAAGGCGACGAUCGGUAGCUGGUCUGAGAGGAUGAUCAGCCACACUGGGACUGAGACACGGCCCAGACUCCUACGGGAGGCAGCAGUGGGGAAUAUUGGACAAUGGGGGCAACCCUGAUCCAGCAAUGCCGCGUGUGUGAAGAAGGCCUUCGGGUUGUAAAGCACUUUUAUCGGGAGCGAAACGCGCCGGGUUAAUACCUUGGCGAACUGACGGUACCCGAGGAUAAGCACCGGCUAACUCCGUGCCAGCAGCCGCGGUAAUACGAGGGUGCAAGCGUUAAUCGGAAUUACUGGGCGUA